rnacentral:misc_RNA from 1 species
GAUGAAGAACGCAGCGAAAUGCGAUACGUAGUGUGAAUUGCAGAAUUCAGUGAAUCAUCGAAUCUUUGAACGCACAUUGCGCCCUUUGGUAUUCCAAAGGGCAUGCCUGUUCGAGCGUCAUUUGUACCUUCAAGCUUUGCUUGGUGUUGGGCGUCUUUUUGUCUCUCCUUUGCGGGAGACUCGCCUUAAAACGAUUGGCAGCCGGCCUACUGGUUUCGGAGCGCAGCACAUUUUUUGCGCUUUGCAUCAGGAGAAAAGGACGGUACUCCAUCAAGACGUUUACAUUUUUCACUUUUGACCUCGGAUCAGGUAGGGAUACCCGCUGAACUUAAGCAUAUCAAUAAGCGGAGGA